UACGUAGGGGGCGAGCGUUGUCCGGAAUUAUUGGGCGUAAAGAGCUCGUAGGCGGUUCCUUAAGUCGGGUGUGAAAUCUCAGGGCUCAACUCUGAAACUGCACCCGAUACUGGGGGAACUUGAGGCAGGUAGGGGAGAUCGGAAUUCCUGGUGUAGCGGUGAAAUGCGCAGAGUAUCAGGAGGAACACCGGUGGCGAAGGCGGGAUCUCUGGGCCUGUUCUGACGCUGAGGAGCGAAAGCAUGGGGAGCAAACAGG
rnacentral:rRNA from 1 species